rnacentral:lncRNA from 13 species
AUUUGGGACUAAAUAAAUGGCACUGCUGCACAAUUCAUAUCUUUUCUCCCCUUACACUGGCCCUACUUUGUUGAUUUGUGUAACCUACAGAGCCCCUUGUAGACAUCUCAGUGUGAGACCUCUAUCCCUUUUUCCGAAAAGUUCUCUCCUUCCAUCCAUGAUGGCUGAGUCGAUUCUCAGACUAGUUCCAAUGUAUUCCCUUGAUGUAAUCAUCAGAUCUGUCUUCCCUCGGCACCUUACUAGGGGAUGCUUCCCCUUCUCUACGACUAGGUACAAUUUCCAACCCAGACUUCGAUCCGACAUUUUCAUACAUUCUCCUCAGAUUAUAGUAGUUUACAAAAUCUUAUCAUUUCUGUGUACUUUUCUAGGUCCUAAGAACUGUUUCUCCUGGAAUAACCUGUUGUCACUCCCUGAUCGGACAUGCUCUCCGAAGUAUGGCACCUUGACAUUAAAGAAAAUAGCAGAAGCAGAAAGUUCUCUGUGACCUCCCAUCAUUCUCCCAUGAAGCAGACCACAGAAGAAUUAUCUGACCUUCCAACAAAGUAGGUCAUUAGACCUUCAUUCCAGAGGUGUCCUCCUUGUACCUGGAGUAAAAGAGUCAAUACACAGAGUCACCAGGACUAAUCUGAACAAGUGGACCUUGCUAAUUUCUCUCAGUUUAUUACCAUCAAAUCAUACCUUUUUGUCCUCCAGUCACAGUUCUGCAUGACUGUUGUAAACGUAUCCAGAUUUCCGUUUCUUUAGGCGUUCAUUAUGAAGUCUCUCAUGUAAUGUAAAACUUAUGUAAUAAAUUUGUGUGUUUUUCCUCUUACUAAUCUGUC